GGGCCGUUAGCUCAGUUGGUAGAGCAGCUGACUCUUAAUCAGUAGGUCCAAGGUUCGAAUCCUUGACGGCCCACCA
rnacentral:tRNA from 29 species